AACGAACGCUGGCGGCAUGCCUAACACAUGCAAGUCGAACGAGAUCUUCGGGUCUAGUGGCGCACGGGUGCGUAACGCGUGGGAAUCUGCCCUUUGGUUUGGAAUAACAGUUGGAAACGACUGCUAAUACCGGAUGAUGACGAAAGUCCAAAGAUUUAUCGCCAGAGGAUGAGCCCGCGUAGGAUUAGCUAGUUGGUGUGGUAAAGGCGCACCAAGGCGACGAUCCUUAGCUGGUCUGAGAGGAUGAUCAGCCACACUGGGACUGAGACACGGCCCAGACUCCUACGGGAGGCAGCAGUGGGGAAUAUUGGACAAUGGGCGAAAGCCUGAUCCAGCAAUGCCGCGUGAGUGAUGAAGGCCUUAGGGUUGUAAAGCUCUUUUACCCGGGAUGAUAAUGACAGUACCGGGAGAAUAAGCUCCGGCUAACUCCGUGCCAGCCGCCGCCGUAAAAC
rnacentral:rRNA from 1 species